UACGUAGGGGGCAAGCGUUGUCCGGAAUCAUUGGGCGUAAAGCGCGUGUAGGCGGCUGAGUAAGUCUGCUCUGAAAGCCCGGGGCUCAACCCCGGGAGGCGGGUGGAUACUGCUCAGCUCGAGUCCGGAAGAGGAGUGUGGAAUUCCUGGUGUAGCGGUGAAAUGCGCAGAUAUCAGGAGGAACACCGAUGGCGAAGGCAGCUCGCUGGGACGAUACUGACGCUGAGGCGCGAAAGCGUGGGGAGCAAACAGG
rnacentral:rRNA from 1 species